GAGUUUGAUCCUGGCUCAGAUUGAACGCUGGCGGCAGGCCUAACACAUGCAAGUCGAGCGGAUGACGGGAGCUUGCUCCUUGAUUCAGCGGCGGACGGGUGAGUAAUGCCUAGGAAUCUGCCUGGUAGUGGGGGACAACGUUUCGAAAGGAACGCUAAUACCGCAUACGUCCUACGGGAGAAAGCAGGGGACCUUCGGGCCUUGCGCUAUCAGAUGAGCCUAGGUCGGAUUAGCUAGUUGGUGGGGUAAUGGCUCACCAAGGCGACGAUCCGUAACUGGUCUGAGAGGAUGAUCAGUCACACUGGAACUGAGACACGGUCCAGACUCCUACGGGAGGCAGCAGUGGGGAAUAUUGGACAAUGGGCGAAAGCCUGAUCCAGCCAUGCCGCGUGUGUGAAGAAGGUCUUCGGAUUGUAAAGCACUUAAGUUGGGAGGAAGGGCAGUAAGUUAAUACCUUGCUGUUUGACGUUACCGACAGAAUAAGCACGGCUAACUCUGUG
rnacentral:rRNA from 1 species